ACGGGAGGCAGCAGUGGGGGAUAUUGCGCAAUGGGGGAAACCCUGACGCAGCAACGCCGCGUGAAGGAAGAAGGUUUUCGGAUCGUAAACUUUUGUCUUCAGGGACGAAAAAGAUGACGGUACCUGAGGAGGAAGCUCCGGCUAACUACGUGCCAGCAGCCGCGGUAAUACGUAGGGAGCGAGCGUUGUCCGGAAUUACUGGGUGUAAAGGGCGUGUAGGCGGGCAAUCAAGUCAGAUGUGAAAUACCCGGGCUUAACUUGGGAGCUGCAUUUGAAACUGAAUGUCUUGAGUGGUGGAGAGGAAAGCGGAAUUCCUAGUGUAGCGGUGAAAUGCGUAGAUAUUAGGAGGAACACCAGUGGCGAAGGCGGCUUUCUGGACACUAACUGACGCUGAGGCGCGAAAGCAUGGGGAGCAAACAGGAUUAGAUACCCUGGUA
rnacentral:rRNA from 1 species